rnacentral:rRNA from 1 species
GGAAUAUUGCACAAUGGGCGAAAGCCUGAUGCAGCGACGCCGCGUGAGGGAUGACGGCCUUCGGGUUGUAAACCUCUUUCAGUAGGGAACAAGGCCAGGCAUUGUCUGGUUGAGGGUACUUGCAGAAGAAGCGCCGGCUAACUACGUGCCAGCAGCCGCGGUAAUACGUAGGGCGCAAGCGUUAUCCGGAAUUAUUGGGCGUAAAGAGCUCGUAGGCGGUUUGUCGCGUCUGCCGUGAAAGUCCGGGGCUCAACUCCGGAUCUGCGGUGGGUACGGGCAGACUAGAGUGAUGUAGGGGAGACUGGAAUUCCUGGUGUAGCGGUGAAAUGCGCAGAUAUCAGGAGGAACACCGAUGGCGAAGGCAGGUCUCUGGGCAUUAACUGACGCUGAGGAGCGAAAGCAUGGGGAGCGAACAGGAUUAGAUACCCUGG